rnacentral:hammerhead_ribozyme from 1 species
GCUGACGAGUCCCAAACAGAACGAAACAGCUGUCC